GUGAGCCAUUUCCCAUUGUGACUGCAGCCAAGGGAAGAACUCCAAGGAGGGCAAUGCCAGGCUGCUAACCCGCUGGCUGAAAGAAGCUGCUCCAUGGGCAAGUCUGAAACCAAACGACAGAGCGAAGUAACAUCUGGCCGCAACUCACAAACAAACAGACGCAGGUUUAGUGCCACAUUUAUUCCGAUACUCCUUAGAAACGGCGGCUAUCAGACGUGGGGCCGUAACCCCACAGGUUAAGCUCCGAGCCGGCCCCAGCGCCCUCCUGCCCCGCCGGCCGGAGAUUCGCACGUAGGAAAGCCUCUCACCUGUCCUCCGCCGCCGCCCGCUCCCUGUCGCCGUUCUGACCUCCGCCGGUGGCCCCCCGGUCCGGCAUGCGGCAGAACCGCCUCUCCACCUCGUCCAGUAGCUGGUCCAGCUCGUCCGCCAUCUUGCCGCCGCCGGCCGUUGCCAGGGCGGCCUCGCACCGCCCCCACUGCAAGGGCGGAGCUUCCGCUCCCUCCGGGUGCCGAGGGGGUCCCGGGGCGGUUCU